AACUUUCGGCAAUGGAUCUCUUGGCUCUCGCAUCGAUGAAGAACGCAGCGAAAUGCGAUAAGUAAUGUGAAUUGCAGAAUUUAAGUGAAUCAUCGAAUCUUUGAACGCACCUUGCGCCCCUUGUUAUUCCGAGGGGCAUGCCUGUUUAGGGGUCAUUAAAUCCUCAACCCCGAAUCUUUUUAUGGGGCUUGUAAUUGGAGUGUGCUGGCGUCUGGUCGGCUCCUCUCAAAUGCUUCGGCGGAAUUGAACCUUCGGUGUCCGUAUGUCAGUGUGAUAAUCAGUGUUGCGCUGUCGUCGGCCACCAAAGUCCGCUUAUAAUGGUCUUCGGACAAACCCUUCAUCAAAUUUGACCUCAAAUCAGGUAGGACUACCCGCUGAACUUAAGCAUAUCAAUAAGCGGAGGCU
rnacentral:misc_RNA from 1 species